rnacentral:lncRNA from 1 species
AAGUAACAGUCAGAGUUCCCAGCUGAAGUUGCAUGAGAAACAUUUGAGUGUGAUUGGAAUAAGGAAUAUUUGGAUCAAUACUUGACUGAGAGCCUGGGUCACCAGCAGUAAAGUCAUUGCCUGAGAGCUCAGAGUGAACACUUGACUCUGCCAGGACAGGGUGUGUGUUCUAUCAAGUCAGAGUGCAAUCUCACAGGGUGAAGCAUCAUGAAAAAUCCAGUAGCUAUGAAUCAGUGACGCUAGCAAGGAUAGAACAACAGGGGACCUCAACCCUUCUGCUUCAGGGCAUGAAUUGUUUUAGAAAGAUGAAAGGCAUUUUCACCCCUUUUUUCCCUGAAGUAUAAUAGAGAGCAAUUGGCUCCUCUGGCUGCAUGUCAGAGUCAGUUCCUCUCAAGUAUCAAGCACUGACCAUCACUGAUGAGAGGGCAGUAGGAGAGUGGGACUCUUGGGUGCUAAUUCUUGUUUGCACAGAAAAGCAAGGCAUGUAGGCAGAUAAAUACUUCAAAGCUGUAAAAAACCCAAAAAACAACCUGUGUGGCUUCUGAGAGUUAGAGGUUGAGACACACAGAUCUCUGUGCCUCUAGGUCAAAUAAAGUUUUGUCAUCCUCAGCCUCUGAAGUGAUUAAAUUUGUCCCAGUAUCAUUAGAAAAUGGAAUUAGCAGCAAUUUGUGGAGCCACAGUAGCCUGGGGGUGGUUUCAGCGGAUACAGCGACACCACUCUAAUAACAAGGGCUGAGAAUGACAUGUCACAAUUACUGUUGGUGCUGCUGUUGAUUUAUGUCAAUGCAACAGUUCCAUGGCAUCCAUCAUUCAGCUUUAUGCUGAUCUCCUGAAAAGUAUCUCUGGAGUCAGCCAAAAAGAGAAAGGCAGAAAGAUCCACUCAGAAAGGUCCACUCACAUGAUGCUGUCUCUAUUUGCAUGAGGCUUCAAGCACUUAAACUGAAGGAGGAAGAGAUGACCAUGCUGGUGAUGGACAUGAAAAUUUAGGGGACCUCAGGAACUUUUUACUGGCUCUGUCACCAGUGGAAGAAGUUCCUGUCCAGACACAAAUUUCAAACUCUCAACUCAUGUUCUGAUAACCCACAAGCCCUCUUGAUGAAGCUCAUUAAUAUCUUUCUUCCCAGUCCUAAAACUUGACCCUAUGUUUCCAAUAAUCAUACUUCCUUCACUGGUGCCUCUAUGUUUUACUUUUAUUGAAUUGCAUCAGAUAUAGGCUAAACCAGAUUUAUUUUGGGGAAGGAGGAAGAACUGAUACAGUCUGCAUCCAUCCAGGUGAAAUCAAAGUAAAGAAAGCUUUAGUGCAACUUAUAGCAUUUGUUAGUGCUACCCAAAAAUGUGACCACACUUGUCCAAAAAACAUAAAUGUCAAAUUGGAUCAAGUUAUUUUAAAGCUCUAGGAAAGGAGUACUUAUUUUAGUAAAUUAAUUUGACUGGUUUAGAUCAGAAAAACAAAGGCAAAGAAGAUUUUAACAGCUUCCUG